UACGUAGGUGGCAAGCGUUGUCCGGAUUUAUUGGGCGUAAAGCGCGCGCAGGCGGUCCUUUAAGUCUGAUGUGAAAUCUUGCGGCUCAACCGCAAGCGGUCAUUGGAAACUGGGGGACUUGAGUACAGAAGAGGAAAGCGGAAUUCCACGUGUAGCGGUGAAAUGCGUAGAGAUGUGGAGGAACACCAGUGGCGAAGGCGGCUUUCUGGUCUGGUCCUGACACUCAUGAGCGAAAGCGUGGGGAGCGAUCCGG
rnacentral:rRNA from 1 species